GACAGAGGGUGCAAACGUUUGUUCGGAAUUACUGGGCGUAAAGCGAGUGUAGGCGGUUUCCUAAGUCAGGUGUGAAAGCCCCGGGCUCAACCCGGGAAGUGCACUUGAAACUGGGAGGCUAGAGUAUCGGAGAGGUUGGUGGAAUUCUCGGUGUAGAGGUGAAAUUCGUAGAUAUCAGGAGGAACACCGGUGGCGAAGGCGGGUCUCUGGGCAACAACUGACGCUGAGGAGCGAAAGCGUGGGGAGCGAACAGG
rnacentral:rRNA from 1 species